rnacentral:rRNA from 1 species
ACACUGACGACAUGGUUCUACUGCCUGUUUAUCAAAAACAUGUCUCCUUGAAGGUAUAGAGAGGCUGACCUGCCCACUGAAUUAUUAAAGGGCCGCGGUAUUUCUGACCGUGCCAAGUUACCAUAGUCAUUAGUCUUUUAAUUGAAGGCUUGGACGAGAGAAAAGCUGUCUCAAUCAAAAACUUGAAAUUAACCUUUAGGUGAAAGGCCUAAAUAUUGAAAGAUGAUAAGACCUAUAAAUCUUAAUAUUAGUGUUGUUAAGUUUUUUUUUUUUUAAAUAAAAGUAUAUUUAGCUCUAUACUAUUGUGUUGGGGC